GACGCACGCUGGCGGCGUGCUUAACACAUGCAAGUCGAACGGAAAGGCCCUGCUUUUGUGGGGUGCUCGAGUGGCGAACGGGUGAGUAACACGUGAGUAACCUGCCCUUGACUUUGGGAUAACUUCAGGAAACUGGGGCUAAUACCGGAUAGGAGCUCCUGCUGCAUGGUGGGGGUUGGAAAGUUUCGGCGGCUGGGGAUGGACUCGCGGCUUAUCAGCUUGUUGGUGGGGUAGUGGCUUACCAAGGCUUUGACGGGUAGCCGGCCUGAGAGGGUGACCGGCCACAUUGGGACUGAGAUACGGCCCAGACUCCUACGGGAGGCAGCAGUGGGGAAUAUUGCACAAUGGGCGGAAGCCUGAUGCAGCAACGCCGCGUGCGGGAUGACGGCCUUCGGGUUGUAAACCGCUUUCGCCUGUGACGAAGCGUGAGUGACGGUAAUGGGUAAAGAAGCACCGGCUAACUACGUG
rnacentral:rRNA from 1 species